rnacentral:rRNA from 1 species
GACGAACGCUGGCGGCGUGCCUAAUACAUGCAAGUAGAACGCUGAAGGAGGAGCUUGCUUCUCUGGAUGAGUUGCGAACGGGUGAGUAACGCGUAGGUAACCUGCCUGGUAGCGGGGGAUAACUAUUGGAAACGAUAGCUAAUACCGCAUAAUAGUAGAUGUUGCAUGACAUUUGCUUAAAAGGUGCAAUUGCAUCACUACCAGAUGGACCUGCGUUGUAUUAGCUAGUUGGUGGGGUAACGGCUCACCAAGGCGACGAUACAUAGCCGACCUGAGAGGGUGAUCGGCCACACUGGGACUGAGACACGGCCCAGACUCCUACGGGAGGCAGCAGUAGGGAAUCUUCGGCAAUGGACGGAAGUCUGACCGAGCAACGCCGCGUGAGUGAAGAAGGGUUUCGGAUCGUAAAGCUCUGUUGUAAGAGAAGAACGAGUGUGAGAGUGGAAAGUUCACACUGUGACGGUACCUUACCAGAAAGGGACGGCUAACUACGUG